AGAGUUUGAUCCUGGCUCAGGACGAACGCUGGCGGCGCGCCUAACACAUGCAAGUCGAACGAGAGAGAGGGAGCUUGCUUCCUCAAUCGAGUGGCGAACGGGUGAGUAACGCGUGAGGAACCUGCCUCAAAGAGGGGGACAACAGUUGGAAACGACUGCUAAUACCGCAUAAGCCCACGGGUCGGCAUCGACCAGAGGGAAAAGGAACAAUCCGCUUUGAGAUGGCCUCGCGUCCGAUUAGCUAGUUGGUGAGGUAACGGCCCACCAAGGCAACGAUCGGUAGCCGGACUGAGAGGUUGAACGGCCACAUUGGGACUGAGACACGGCCCAGACUCCUACGGGAGGCAGCAGUGGGGAAUAUUGCACAAUGGGGGAAACCCUGAUGCAGCGACGCCGCGUGGAGGAAGAAGGUCUUCGGAUUGUAAACUCCUGUUGUUGAGGAAGAUAAUGACGGUACUCAACAAGGAAGUGACGGCUAACUACGUGCCAGCAGCCGCGGUAAAACGUAGGUCACAAGCGUUGUCCGGAAUUACUGGGUGUAAAGGGAGCGCAGGCGGGAAGACAAGUUGGAAGUGAAAUCCAUGGGCUCAACCCAUGAACUGCUUUCAAAACUGUUUUUCUUGAGUAGUGCAGAGGUAGGCGGAAUUCCCGGUGUAGCGGUGGAAUGCGUAGAUAUCGGGAGGAACACCAGUGGCGAAGGCGGCCUACUGGGCACCAACUGACGCUGAGGCUCGAAAGUGUGGGUAGCAAACAGGAUUUAGAUACCCUGGUAGUCCACACCGUAAACGAUGAUUACUAGGUGUUGGAGGAUUGACCCCUUCAGUGCCGCAGUUAACACAAUAAGUAAUCCACCUGGGGAGUACGACCGCAAGGUUGAAACUCAAAGGAAUUGACGGGGGCCCGCACAAGCAGUGGAGUAUGUGGUUUAAUUCGACGCAACGCGAAGAACCUUACCAAGUCUUGACAUCCUGCGACGGUGCUGGAAACAGUAUUUUCCUUCGGGACGCAGAGACAGGUGGUGUAUGGUUGUCGUCAGCUCGUGUCGUGAGAUGUUGGGUUAAGUCCCGCAACGAGCGCAACCCUUAUGGUCAGUUACUACGCAAGAGGACUCUGGCCAGACUGCCGUUGACAAAACGGAGGAAGGUGGGGAUGACGUCAAAUCAUCAUGCCCUUUAUGACUUGGGCUACACACGUACUACAAUGGCGUUAAACAAAGAGAAGCAAGACCGCGAGGUGGAGCAAAACUCAGAAACAACGUCCCAGUUCGGACUGCAGGCUGCAACUCGCCUGCACGAAGUCGGAAUUGCUAGUAAUCGUGGAUCAGCAUGCCACGGUGAAUACGUUCCCGGGCCUUGUACUCACCGCCCGUCA
rnacentral:rRNA from 1 species